rnacentral:rRNA from 1 species
CCUACGGGAGACAGCAGUGAGGAAUAUUGGUCAAUGGACGAGAGUCUGAACCAGCCAAGUAGCGUGAAGGAUGACUGCCCUAUGGGUUGUAAACUUCUUUUAUAUGGGAAUAAAAUGUUCCACGUGUGGGAUUUUGUAUGUACCAUAUGAAUAAGGAUCGGCUAACUCCGUGCCAGCAGCCGCGGUAAUACGGAGGAUCCGAGCGUUAUCCGGAUUUAUUGGGUUUAAAGGGAGCGUAGGUGGAUUGUUAAGUCAGUUGUGAAAGUUUGCGGCUCAACCGUAAAAUUGCAGUUGAAACUGGCAGUCUGGAGUACAGUAGAGGUGGGCGGAAUUCGUGGUGUAGCGGUGAAAUGCUUAGAUAUCACGAAGAACUCCGAUUGCGAAGGCAGCUCACUGGACUGCAACUGACACUGAGGCUCGAAAGUGUGGGUAUCAAACAGGAUUAGAUACCCCUGUAGUC